rnacentral:rRNA from 1 species
CCUACGGGAGGCAGCAGUGGGGAAUAUUGGACAAUGGGCGAAAGCCUGAUCCAGCAAUGCCGCGUGAGUGAUGAAGGCCUUAGGGUCGUAAAGCUCUUUUACCAGGGAUGAUAAUGACAGUACCUGGAGAAUAAGCUCCGGCUAACUCCGUGCCGGCAGCCGCGGUAAUACGGAGGGAGCUAGCGUUGUUCGGAAUUACUGGGCGUAAAGCGUGCGUAGGCGGUUAUUCAAGUCAGAGGUGAAAGCCCGGGGCUCAACCCCGGAACGGCCUUUGAAACUAGAUAACUAGAAUCUUGGAGAGGUCAGUGGAAUUCCGAGUGUAGAGGUGAAAUUCGUAGAUAUUCGGAAGAACACCAGUGGCGAAGGCGACUGACUGGACAAGUAUUGACGCUGAGGUACGAAAGCGUGGGGAGCAAACAGGAUUAGAUACCCUGGUAGUCCACGCCGUAAACGAUGAUAACUAGCUGUCCGGACACUUGGUGUUUGGGUGGCGCAGCUACGCAUUAAGUUNUCCGCGUGGGAGUCGGUCGCAGAUUAAACNAAUNAUGACGNNGAGNGNGCGACGACGACGACGAGGAG